rnacentral:rRNA from 1 species
UACGAAGGGGGCUAGCGUUGCUCGGAAUCACUGGGCGUAAAGCGCACGUAGGCGGCUUUUUAAGUCAGGGGUGAAAUCCUGGAGCUCAACUCCAGAACUGCCUUUGAUACUGAGAAGCUUGAGUCCGGGAGAGGUGAGUGGAACUGCGAGUGUAGAGGUGAAAUUCGUAGAUAUUCGCAAGAACACCAGUGGCGAAGGCGGCUCACUGGCC